AACGAACGCUGGCGGUGUGCUUAACACAUGCAAGUCGAACGAGAAAGUUUCCUUCGGGAAGCGAGUAAAGUGGCGCAAGGGUGAGUAACACGUGAAUAAUCUACCCUCGAGACUGGGAUAACCUGGUGAAAACUAGGCUAAUACCGGAUAAGACCACGUCCCGCAAGGGAUGCGGGAAAAGGAGGCUCAACCUCCACUUGUGGAUGAGUUCGCGGACCAUUAGCUUGUUGGUGAGAUAACAGCUCACCAAGGCUACGAUGGUUAGCCGGCCUGAGAGGGUGAACGGCCACACUGGAACUGAGACACGGUCCAGACUCCUACGGGAGGCAGCAGUGGGGAAUCUUGCACAAUGGGGGAAACCCUGAUGCAGCGAUGCCGCGUGAGUGAAG
rnacentral:rRNA from 1 species